UUUUCUUCCAAAACAUGUUCUCUCUUCCAAAAGUCAUUUCUCAGGAGACUUCUCUUGAGACCUAACCCAUCUUCAUCAAGGUGACCAUCGUCUUGGAGAGCUUAUCAACGACUUUACCUUUUCAUUUCUUCUAGUUAAGAGUAUUGCACUAUGUGAGAGACUUGAGACUUGGGCAACAUCGGUACUGUUGAAGCACAUAAUACCAAAAUCGCUAACUUCUGAAGCACUAGGAGAAAUAGUUGCUUUCUUCUGAGGAUUUUCAGGUAUGUGAAUCUAUUAUGUUCUUGAAAAGUUGAUAUCUUCUAGGGUUUCUUCAUAUGCUUUGAUUCUUAUGUCAAAUUGAAUUGGUUACUUUCAUUCACCUAAGAAUCUGCUAGUUCAUUGCUUUAAUUCGUUUGGAAUCUGGUAGGGUUUUUUAUUUAUUUAUGAACUUGGGUGAAUCUGCUAGUUAUUUGCUUUAAUUCAUUUGGAAUCUGGUAGGGUUUUUUCUUCAUUUAUGAAAAGUUGAUAUCUUGUAGAGAACGAAUACAUAGGAUGCAUAGUUGAUUGUUUUAUCAUUACUGUCGAUAUUGUUUCUUCGUAAAUGUUGUUUUUCUGAUACUAUGGCUUUAAUUGCAGACUAGUGCAAGUUCAUUACUGCCAUAUAUAACUAUGUGAUUUUAAUACCUAAUUGCAAAUGGAGAACGAAAGAAAAUUUAUUAUCUAGUAUAUUUCCGUUCUCUGAAGCUCAAAAGAAAAAAAGAACAUGAAAAACAUUCUCUGCCUUGGGAAUAAGGACAGACUGGGAUAACUGGGUGCGGUCCAUGCUGUGGAUGGGCUUGUUUGAGAUUCAGGGCCAACAAUUCCCCAUGGCCUCUUCAGAGCUUUAUGGAGGUGGCUGAGGUGGGAGUGUUAGGUGUGGCAGGCAAUAAUAGUAAUUGCAGUUAUUCCUUCGUCUCUUCGCAGUUUCCACUUUGCAGGGUUGCUUAAUUUGGUAAUAUACUGAAUAUUUCUCCCCAUACCUUGGUUAUUGGAUGUGCAUCCCAGAACUUUGGAUUGUCGGGAACUACUCCUCUCAAGUGUGCGUUUAGGCUUAGAUUGAGCUAUUAUCACUAGAUGGUGGUGGUUGACUGGUUCCUAUGACAUUGGUGUAAUUCAUUCUCAUGUUUUUCUAGAGAAGUAUUGGUAUUACAUCCCAACAACCAUUUGAAUAACACACAAAUGUAAUUUGCAGGAUAUCUUUAUAUUUAUCUUGUAGCCUGUGUGAUUAAUUUAUUUCCGCAUGUUUUAAACCUGUGGGAAUUCAACCUGUUGGACUGUGGAAUCUUAUGAUACUUUGAUAAUUUAUCAGUAAUGUUUUGUGACCUCAUUUAUGGUCGUGUCUCUUUAUUUGAAAUUGAAAUAGUGUCGGAGGAGUCCUGCCAGAGUAACUAGAUGUUUCUUUGUCUAUUGUUCUUGUUUCAGGAGAAGUGUUCAAGUGUUCUUCUUCUCUCUAGGUUGUUAGUUUAUACUAGUUUGAACAUCAAAUCAGUCCCGCAUAUAAAAUAUUUGAUUAGCGAUAUUAUAUACUGCCUUUCUACUUCUUGUCCUUGGCAAUAUCUAUACACGUAAUCAUAAAUGCUAAGGAUUUAUAAGUAGGUAUUUUCUGGUUUAGAAAGUUUUCACACAAAUGUGAAACUAUUGUGCUAGUUGUAAAAGUUAAUAUGUAUGUUGCUCUCUUACCGUGGUAAAUUUUUGAAUUCUAUUGUUUAGAAUGUCUCUGCAAGUGGUGAAGAUGAAAAUAUAUUAGCAGGCGAUUAUAAAUGCUCUACCUUAGCAUUUAAACUAUAUUUUGUAGAUAUUGAAGGAGUGAUGUGAGAAUGACCUUUGCAAUCUCACUUUAACUUUCAUGAUCAGAUCAUAUCAUGUAAUGUGUGCUUAGAACUCGUUUCAACUAUAAAAUAGCGACUUGAUCUUUGUAAAGACGUAGUAUCAUCCUUUAAUUAGAGAAAAUGUUACUUAAAUCAUGUUACUAACGAGUGAUUAUAUUUUUAUGAUAGAUACUAAAUUAAAAAACUAAAUAUUUACAAAGAAGUCAUAAUCUAAAUGGAAUUAGUUCUAGACAGAUUUGACAAUCAAUCUGAAAUAUCUAAUUGAAUUUCAGAUUGUUGUUUCAUUAACUUUUAAGUAUUUUUAUAUCUUUAGUGGAGAGAGUGUUUUUUAUAAUCUAAGUUUGAGAGAGUUUUUUGAAAGUAAAGUUUUAUAACUUAGGCAUUGCCUGCCUUUUAUUUUUACAUGUUCCCUCCUUUUUAUAGAAAGGAAAAUCUAUUCUAAUAACUAUGCAUCUUACGUACUACCCAUUUUACUUCAUUUAUAAAUACUACACUUGCCAAAUAUAAUAUGACAUACCAUACCCACACCAUACCUACUUUAUGACACAUUUAUCUACACUAUGACACAUACUAUUCACACUAUGACACACUAUUAUGACAUACUACUAUUCACAUAAUACUUUUUUGACUUUUUUACAAGACAAAUAACUUUCCACUAACUUUACGUCUAUUCUUUUUCUUAUCUUCUUUUAUCUCAUCUCUUUUUCGUCUCUAUCUUCUUUUAUUUUAUCAUUCCAGCUGGACGUCGGGGAUUACAUUAUCUUCUCCCAUUGCAUUUUGAACAUAUGUGAUCAGGGUAUUUGUGUCAAAUUAGCUUGCAAUAUCUGGUUAAUAAUUCUGUCGAAAUAAAUCCUUCUUUUAAUGCUCUUGUUGUAGGUCGUUCUUCUGGCUUUAAUAAUGAUAAAUCCAUUGCUGGACUUCAUCCAUAUCUGUUUUCCUUAGUUCUCUUGAAUUUGAGUAUAUUAUUAGUUGAUCUGUAGAGUAGCUCCAUAUAGCAUUUCCAUUUAAAUAUUUAUAUGCUAGCUCCUGUAUGAUAGUUGAUAUACCAAUUAUUCUUUUGUUGGCGUAAAAACUUGGUAUCUCUAUUUUGCAUAUCUCUUCUUGUUGUCCGAUGUCCUCGGGUAUGAUCAUAUCUUUAGUCAAUCCUAUCUUGAUAACCUGUAUUGGAGGUUUUAUUUCCUCGUAUAAUAUCUCCGCUGGUGCUGUAUAGAAUUUUAUAUAAAAUAAAUUCCCUUUUGUAACUCUUUUGUAUGUGACGAAUGUUUUGUGUAGCUCCGGUAUUUCACUAACUUCUUCUUCAUCGUACGUGUAUAUAGUAUUUAACAGUCUGUAGUUAUAACAUGUUCUUACUAAAUUACCGUUAGUUUUUGGCCGUGCAAUUAACUUGUUAUAUCCUUGUAACUUUUGUGUCAAAUAAUCUUGGUUUGGUUCUUUCAUAAUUGAUCUGGGGUUGCGAUUUAAAUAAGUUUGGAUUUUGUGUAUAUUUUCGAUAUAGGUUCGUGUGAUGUAGUUAUAUGUUUUUUUCUCAUUUUGGUUUAGCAAACUAUCUGCGUAUGUAGAUGUUUGUGGUUCUAUGGACAUAUGUCUAGGUGUCCUUUGGGUGAUUGGUUUUUCGAAUAGCUGGUUUAAGUUCGCAUAUUUAUGUUGUUUAUCGCUAACUUAUUUGCUUGUACCUGCAGCUGUAUUUAAACAAACGUUAUGGGUUUUAAGGAGUUUCCCA
rnacentral:lncRNA from 1 species